rnacentral:rRNA from 3 species
UUCUGAUUAUUGAAAGGUGCUUGCAUCUUGAUUUAAUUUUGAACGAGUGGCGGACGGGUGAGUAACACGUGGGUAACCUGCCCUUAAGUGGGGGAUAACAUUUGGAAACAGAUGCUAAUACCGCAUAAAUCCAAGAACCGCAUGGUUCUUGGCUGAAAGAUGGCGUAAGCUAUCGCUUUUGGAUGGACCCGCGGCGUAUUAGCUAGUUGGUGAGGUAACGGCUCACCAAGGCAAUGAUACGUAGCCGAACUGAGAGGUUGAUCGGCCACAUUGGGACUGAGACACGGCCCAAACUCCUACGGGAGGCAGCAGUAGGGAAUCUUCCACAAUGGACGCAAGUCUGAUGGAGCAACGCCGCGUGAGUGAAGAAGGCUUUCGGGUCGUAAAACUCUGUUGUUGGAGAAGAAUGGUCGGCAGAGUAACUGUUGUCGGCGUGACGGUAUCCAACCAGAAAGCCACGGCUAACUACGUGCCAGCAGCCGCGGUAAUACGUAGGUGGCAAGCGUUAUCCGGAUUUAUUGGGCGUAAAGCGAGCGCAGGCGGUUUUUUAAGUCUGAUGUGAAAGCCCUCGGCUUAACCGAGGAAGUGCAUCGGAAACUGGGAAACUUGAGUGCAGAAGAGGACAGUGGAACUCCAUGUGUAGCGGUGAAAUGCGUAGAUAUAUGGAAGAACACCAGUGGCGAAGGCGGCUGUCUGGUCUGUAACUGACGCUGAGGCUCGAAAGCAUGGGUAGCGAACAGGAUUAGAUACCCUGGUAGUCCAUGCCGUAAACGAUGAAUGCUAGGUGUUGGAGGGUUUCCGCCCUUCAGUGCCGCAGCUAACGCAUUAAGCAUUCCGCCUGGGGAGUACGACCGCAAGGUUGAAACUCAAAGGAAUUGACGGGGGCCCGCACAAGCGGUGGAGCAUGUGGUUUAAUUCGAAGCAACGCGAAGAACCUUACCAGGUCUUGACAUCUUUUGAUCACCUGAGAGAUCAGGUUUCCCCUUCGGGGGCAAAAUGACAGGUGGUGCAUGGUUGUCGUCAGCUCGUGUCGUGAGAUGUUGGGUUAAGUCCCGCAACGAGCGCAACCCUUAUGACUAGUUGCCAGCAUUUAGUUGGGCACUCUAGUAAGACUGCCGGUGACAAACCGGAGGAAGGUGGGGAUGACGUCAAAUCAUCAUGCCCCUUAUGACCUGGGCUACACACGUGCUACAAUGGAUGGUACAACGAGUUGCGAGACCGCGAGGUCAAGCUAAUCUCUUAAAGCCAUUCUCAGUUCGGACUGUAGGCUGCAACUCGCCUACACGAAGUCGGAAUCGCUAGUAAUCGCGGAUCAGCACGCCGCGGUGAAUACGUUCCCGGGCCUUGUACACACCGCCCGUCACACCAUGAGAGUUUGUAACACCCGAAGCCGGUGGCGUAACCCUUUUAGGGAGCGAGCCGUCUAAGGUGGGACAAAUGAUUAGGGUGAAGUCGUAACAAGGUAGCCGUAGGAGAACCUGCGGCUGGAUCACCUCCUUUCUAAGGAA